rnacentral:rRNA from 1 species
CCUACGGGAGGCAGCAGUGGGGAAUAUUGGGCAAUGGGCGCAAGCCUGACCCAGCAACGCCGCGUGAAGGAAGAAGGCUUUCGGGUUGUAAACUUCUUUUCGCAGGGACGAAGCAAGUGACGGUACCUGAGGAAUAAGCCACGGCUAACUACGUGCCAGCAGCCGCGGUAAGACGUAGGUGGCAAGCGUUAUCCGGAUUUACUGGGUGUAAAGGGCGUGUAGGCGGGAAAGCAAGUCAGAUGUGAAAACCAUGGGCUCAACCUGUGGACUGCAUUUGAAACUGUUGUUCUUGAGUACUGGAGAGGCAGACGGAAUUCCUAGUGUAGCGGUGAAAUGCGUAGAUAUUAGGAGGAACACCAGUGGCGAAGGCGGUCUGCUGGACAGCGACUGACGCUGAGGCGCGAAAGCGUGGGGAGCAAACAGGAUUAGAUACCCGUGUAGUC